UCAUUUGGCAAUCAUGUGGUUUUCAAACGAAAAUAGAAAGGAUCGCGGACCAGGUGACAGAUACCCACGUUUCUAUACAACACAAAGUUUAUUCAUUUUAACUCUCCUUAAUUAUAUCUUUCAAAUUAUUAUAUUUUCUUCUUCAAUGUGGUAGUUUAUCGAUCGGUUUUAUAUCCUGCGAUUCCCUACUAAGCCCUGUUUUAUAUUUUCUUGUAAGGAAAAC